rnacentral:rRNA from 1 species
AGUGAACGCUGGCGGUAGGCCUAACACAUGCAAGUCGAACGGCAGCACAGUAAGAGCUUGCUCUUACGGGUGGCGAGUGGCGGACGGGUGAGGAAUACAUCGGAAUCUACUUUUUCGUGGGGGAUAACGUAGGGAAACUUACGCUAAUACCGCAUACGACCUACGGGUGAAAGCAGGGGAUCUUCGGACCUUGCGCGACUGAAUGAGCCGAUGUCGGAUUAGCUAGUUGGCGAGGUAAAGGCCCACCAAGGCGACGAUCCGUAGCUGGUCUGAGAGGAUGAUCAGCCACACUGGAACUGAGACACGGUCCAGACUCCUACGGGAGGCAGCAGUGGGGAAUAUUGGACAAUGGGCGCAAGCCUGAUCCAACCAUACCGCGUGGGUGAAGAAGGCCUUCGGGUUGUAAAGCCCUUUUGUUGGGAAAGAAAAGCAGCAGGUUAAUACCCCGCUGUUCUGACGGUACCCAAAGAAUAAGCACCGGCUAACUUCGUG